rnacentral:rRNA from 1 species
GGGCUGCAGUGGGGAAUUUUGGACAAUGGGCGCAAGCCUGAUCCAGCCAUGCCGCGUGCGGGAAGAAGGCCUUCGGGUUGUAAACCGCUUUUGUCAGGGAAGAAAUCUUCUGGGUUAAUACCUCGGGAGGAUGACGGUACCUGAAGAAUAAGCACCGGCUAACUACGUGCCAGCAGCCGCGGUAAUACGUAGGGUGCAAGCGUUAAUCGGAAUUACUGGGCGUAAAGCGUGCGCAGGCGGUUUUGUAAGACAGAGGUGAAAUCCCCGGGCUUAACCUGGGAACUGCCUUUGUGACUGCAAAGCUUGAGUGCGGCAGAGGGGGAUGGAAUUCCGCGUGUAGCAGUGAAAUGCGUAGAUAUGCGGAGGAACACCGAUGGCGAAGGCAAUCCCCUGGGCCUGCACUGACGCUCAUGCACGAAAGCGUGGGGAGCAAACAGGAUUAGAUACCCUUGUAGUC